GACGAACGCUGGCGGCGUGCUUAACACAUGCAAGUCGAACGGAAAGGCCCUGCUUUUGUGGGGUGCUCGAGUGGCGAACGGGUGAGUAACACGUGAGUAACCUGCCCUUGACUUUGGGAUAACUUCAGGAAACUGGGGCUAAUACCGGAUAGGAGCUCCUGCUGCAUGGUGGGGGUUGGAAAGUUUCGGCGGUUGGGGAUGGACUCGCGGCUUAUCAGCUUGUUGGUGGGGUAGUGGCUUACCAAGGCUUUGACGGGUAGCCGGCCUGAGAGGGUGACCGGCCACAUUGGGACUGAGAUACGGCCCAGACUCCUACGGGAGGCAGCAGUGGGGAAUAUUGCACAAUGGGCGGAAGCCUGAUGCAGCAACGCCGCGUGCGGGAUGAAGGCCUUCGGGUUGUAAACCGCUUUCGCCUGUGACGAAGCGUGAGUGACGUAAUGGGUAAAGAAGCACCGGCUAACUACGUG
rnacentral:rRNA from 1 species